UUGUCGGCGUAACGUGAGAUGUUAGUCAAAGCUCGACCAAUGACCUUAUCUGGCUUCAACCCGAGGACUGCUUCUUAUAUAUCUAUAUACUGUCUGGGACGAUAGUAUUUGAGGAAGGUGGAACUGUUGGCAUGAUGGAGGACUAAAUUGCAACAAAUCAAGACAUGUACCAGUAUCAUCAAGGAUCCCCCCUAUGCUAUAGCGAAAUUGAUAGAAGAAGAACCAUUUUAACAGCCCGAUAAUCUCAGAAAUGGAGUGUAUAGCGUUGUUAUAGUGACUAUUACUCAUGGGUUGAUCCCGAAGAAUCUGGGGCUCUCCAUCAAUCAUGUCCACCCUGCAAAAUAGGUAGUAAUCAUCCAUGGCCUCCUCUAAUAGCAAUGGUAACUCUUGGCAGCCACGCAUUACGAAAAGACUUCGAACAUCAUCAAUAGAUCGAAUAUCAGCCUUGAAAGCCCGUGCGUGUAGCAACAGUCCCAUGAUAAACACAUGCGGGCUGAACACAAGAGAGACACCCAGAAUGAUUUCGGGAAAAGAAAACGUAUUCCUGCUAUAAUAUUAGAUUCGAUCUUCUUCUCAGCAGACAUUUGUUUAACAUAUAGAUUUGUAAUCCCAAGAAAGGACUUGAUAUACUCAGGCUUAAUGGCAAUGUCGAGUAUAGGAGGUCCGUCAUAGGGAUUUCAUAGUAGACUAAUACAGAGAUGCUUGUACUGUAGUUUCAAAAUCGCGUUUUUGCGGCCCGCGGUAAAAAGGCCAAGCAUCAGGGCCAGACACAAUAUGAUCCUUUGGAUGCCGAGAAAAAACCGUUUUUUGCGCGUUUGGAGGAUCAUCUCAUUGAAUUUGAUCAUAUCGUCAAUGUACACUGGGACAUUGUCACGAGGUUGAGUACCCAACUCGUUCUCCUUAAUUAACCAUUGCCUGCCCUACGAUAUGUUAGUCUAGGUCCAGCAAUCAUAAUAUCAUAAAUUGGACAGUAGCAUACCGUGCGGAGGCUCUUCGCCAUCGCUUUAUCCAUCUUUUUGCCUAACGCGUCUUGGUAAUAAAUUCGAAAAUACUUCCAGUCGUGUUGAAAGUGCCCGCCUGGCCAUAUCCUGGCAGCUUUCGGCCGUCUACUUCAUAUUGUAGUUUGAAACACCAUUUCAGGAAUUGAAAUAUACAGUCUGCGGAUGCUUGCCGAAGAGCUUUCUCUAGGUCACUCCAUCGUGCACAAUCCGGUUCACGUUCUAAAUUUUUCUGACAGAACCUUUGCAAGAGUCAGUGAAACGUAUCUAGAAUCCAAAACAAAUGA
rnacentral:lncRNA from 1 species